rnacentral:rRNA from 1 species
GAUGAACGCUGGCGGCGUGCCUAAUACAUGCAAGUCGAGCGAACAGACGAGGAGCUUGCUCCUCUGACGUUAGCGGCGGACGGGUGAGUAACACGUGGAUAACCUACCUAUAAGACUGGGAUAACUUCGGGAAACCGGAGCUAAUACCGGAUAAUAUAUUGAACCGCAUGGUUCAAUAGUGAAAGACGGUUUUGCUGUCACUUAUAGAUGGAUCCGCGCCGCAUUAGCUAGUUGGUAAGGUAACGGCUUACCAAGGCAACGAUGCGUAGCCGACCUGAGAGGGUGAACCGCCACACCGGAACUGAGACACGGUCCCGACUCCUACGGGAGGCAGCAGUAGGGAAUCUUCCGCAAUGGGCGAAAGCCUGACGGAGCAACGGCGCGGGAGUGAUGAAGGUCUUCGGAUCGUAAAACUCUGUUAUUAGGGAAGAACAAAUGUGUAAGUAACUAUGCACGUCCUGACGGUACCUAAUCAGAAAGCCACGGCUAACUACGUG